rnacentral:siRNA from 1 species
UGGCCAUAUGUGAAGUUGAUGUA